AACUGUCUUUGGAGAUAUUUAGAAGAACAUGAUACCCAAGAAGACUGAGCCGUCUUUGUGUAAACGAUGGACAAGGCAGCUGAAGAAGAUGCCAUAGGAUUUCAGUGGAUCACCAGAUCCUUGGGAAUCCUCCAGCUGAACAAGCUUGCCCUUCUGAACAGAUUAACCCUGCUGGAAGCACCAAAAGCAUAGCUCGAGGCCUUCCACCAGAGUGCCUUUUCCAGAGAUAGCUCUUAGAUGCCGACACACAAAAUAUUUUGUACUUCUAAUAGCACCUUGACUGGAGAAAGAGCCUUUUAGUAGAACCAGAAGAGAAGAAAUUAUCACAGAUUUACAGCUGGGAAGACCCAGAGAGAUAGCCUGGCUUGCCUGGCAAUGCACAGAAGUCAGCAACAGAAGGGAAUGGAAUCAGCAAAAAGAGGCUAGGAAGUUGCACUGGUGACCAAGAAAAUAAGGAAGAAGUGACUUGAGCUGCCGCUGCCCAGAGCCAACAGCUUUGUAUUGCUUGACAAAUGUAGGUAGUCCUGGCUUUCAAGAAGGAAAAUGAUUUGGAAAAAAAUUUUGCACUGCUUAAUACAUCAAGCAAGCUUCAGUGGAGUCAUUCUUGCCCGACACCAGUGCCAUUCAGGUGGUCUUUUCCUGAUUCAGUGUAACUUUCUGAGCAUGGGUGGCCAAACCUGUACACCAUUUGCACAAAGCCAGUUCCAUCAGAUUGGUGAUUACAACAAGAGGUAAGAGGUUUCCGGAUACUAUUGUUUGUGAAGAGGACGGAUUUUCUGAGGAUGAAUUCUCAGCAAAUUCUAAGCAGGUGCCUUUACGAGGUAUCUAGUUAUGUAAACCUCAGUCACUCAAGGGGGAAUCUUGUCCCAGGUAAACAACAUAAGAUGGAUCAAUGCAAAAAUAUACAACUGAGCUGUCAACGGGCCUGCUGCGUACAUGGGAAUUAACCCCUUGAACUGCUUUGGAGUAGCAGCAUAUGGUAUCUUGUAUUCACAAGUGCAGUAGUGUCUGCGUGUGCAUGAAGAGCGCUGAGUAAAGCUAUGUGAGUUACUGUUAGAGGCUUUCUAGCAUCUUGGGAGAGGCAACUUCUUAACAAGGCAAAUUGAUCUCUUGGGGAAUCUUCGCUGUACCACAGUGAAGACUUCUGGAGAAGUGGUAAGAGGAAGUACUCACAAGUGACCUCCAGAGCAAGGUACUCCUGUUGAAAAGUUGAGUCAUUUAAUAUCAGAUUUUAAAAGGUCCUGGAUGCCUUCUAGAAGUUGCUUCAUAAAGUGUCUCCAUGUCAGCACCCUACAUAUUUUAAACCGAGCAUGCAAAAACACAGCAUGGAUGGGUACUCUUAAAUGUGGCGGUCUACGUGACUUCCUUGUAGUCACUUGGCAGUGCAAUAAUAGAAAUAGGAACAUAGGAUUUCUUAUGUCUAUUGUGUCCAUUGGAACAAUACUGCUGAGAGCAACUGAGAGCAAAGGCCUGGCCUUCAAAAUAUAUGACUUGAAAGGAAAGUUGCAUUUUUUUGGUAAGGUCCAAAUGUAUUUCAUUCAGUUUUGCUCCUACUCCCAAAGUUUGGUUGUAAACAAGUAUGAUUUUUUACCCUGGAAGCCAUGCAUCUGGAUUGCAGUGCCUGUAACUGUUUUCAUCAUCACAAGUAGUUAUUGGUUUCAUAAUGUUCUGCAUGUGCAGAAAACAGCUUGUAAGAGGUAACCCAAGCAAACUCUAUUUUAUAAUUGAAGAGUUUAAAUGUCUUAAAUCACCAGUCUGCAAGGUACCUGCAGCCAUUAACUUUCUACAUAUGACCCUAAAGUCUUAAAAUUCUGCAUUCCUAGCUUUGCAGAAUUCUUCUGAUUCUGGCUGCUCCCUAUCAAAUUUCCAUGCUGACUCUUUGUCCAGACAGGUCAACUGUUCAAAGCAAUAAUGUACCAACUACUUUCAUGGGAAGUGAAUGUGGCCUUCAGUAGGGCUCACCUACAGCUAUAAACCUUUUUGUAGCUAUACAGCAAUAAAACUUUGAAAAUAAUUUCUGCAUAUUGCAAAUGUGAUGUAAGCUGUCAAGAUUAUCAGUACUCAAUGCCAAGUGAAAAAAUACAUUGCACCUGAAUAACUUCUAUUUAAAUAAUGGAUUAUUUUUUCACUGCACAGUUGGCAUAUCCUGGAGUCUUCAUAUUCUGCACUGUGGAGGCUGAAUAUAUUUGAAUUGAUUAAUAUUUAAAGUGUUCUAUGCCCCUGAUUCAUGCCUCAGUUCCCCAAACCCUGAAAAUGCAGGUGAUCACAGAAAAAACACUGCAACAAAUAGCCACUGAAUUCCAGUAGGGACAAGGAACAACAGAAAGGGACAGGAAACUCGGAGACUUCCAAUUUGUGUGCAGUUUGUACAGAGUGGGGGUUUGGGCUACAUGGGUGCUGACAGAAUGAGAAGGGGGCGUGAACUGUUCGUUCUAAGGGACUGAGGACUCCUGGAGAAGGCCACGUUUGUUUGGAGGAACUGAGAGACUUCACUUGUUCUCUGCCUUCCCUUUCACUUCUUGAAAAGGUCAUCCAAAAAGCCAUCUUACAGUUCCAAGCAUGGCGGUAAGGUCCUCAGUGCAGAAGAGUAAAAUAGAGUAUUUGUGCUGCGAAUUUUCUGUUAUCGUCUGCUCCUAAAUUGUUUCUACUCCUCGUUAAGCCUGCGGCUUGCUGACCGACUUCCCUGUGACUUGUGGCCAAUUAGCUCACGUGCCCAGUUUCCUUUACACCGCUCCGGGCAGUUCUUUGCUCUCACAAGCAGAAGUAUGGACAGAGCCGUAGCACAGUCACUUGCUAACCACAUCGCUGUAAGCAAACAGAUGGGACUGUGCACCCCCAAUCUGAGUAAAACUGUGAUGUGGCAUUGUUUGAAGCUCUGCAGGCUUACUGAUCGCACAGGCAAGGCAGGCUCUGAAGGGCAGAGGUGUAACAUACAUUCAUCUGCAGCUGGCAUUCUUGUACCCCUCUUCUGAGUGGGUGCCUCUGUUGACCUCUUUCACAAAUCAUUAGUAAAUGAUACUUCUGAAUAAAUACUUUCUCUGUAUCUUCUCCAGUACUAAGGAUUAAUUUUACAUGGGUCUAUGCAUUUACUCUGUUCUGCAGCAGCAACAGAAAUUAAUCUCUUGGCCAGACUGUAGGAAUGAUGUUCCACAUUUAUUACAUAUUAUGACCUUUCUGGAUGAUAUAAAGUCAAGUCUAGGGAUCUGUCUUUGGUUUUGUGUGUUUUUCUUCUCUAAUGAAUAAUGAGUUGUGGUGUAUAGAUGCCACUAAUUCACAUCCUUUUUUUUGAGUUUAAAGAUCAUGAUUAAUGUUUUAUAUGAAGCAAGAUGGUGAAUAGGAGAGUUCAUUGACUUUUCAACCCUGGAAUCACCCAAACACCGGUUUACAUUCCAAAUAAAAUAUUUGGUGGGUUUCACACCAGUCUUUACCAGCGCGUAUCACAAUGUUGCUGUUGGGAAAAACUGAAUUUAUUAAGGCAGUAUAUUUUAAAAAUUGGCUCCAGCAACUGCACAGCUGGCAACAAGGAAAAAAUAAUCUAAGGCAGCAUGUAAAAAACUUGUUCUCUAGUUAGACUGUGAAUUUUCCAAUAACUGCCUCCAAUAGACCACCCUAUGACACUGAUUGCAAACAUAUAAAGCCUGAUUGUUUCAAAAGUCAUAUAAAUAAAAUGUAGAUGUUGAAAUGCCAACCUCCCACUAUUUGCCUCCAACCUUUUCUUUUCAUCUCUUACUGCUUAUUUUGCUUUUUUCUUUCUUGGUGUCCUUCCUCUCACUGUUUUCUUUCAGUACCACCCCCUCUUUUCCUCUCAGAACUGAGUGGAGCUUUAGUUUUAACGGCAGAAUAGGAGCCAGCAGACACGAAAAGAAGCUGGGGCAGCAAAUGCUGUGACCCCAGAACAGAACAGUGCAGGCUGUUUGUGUGCACACACAACUUCAUGUGCCACGUACCUGGUACCAACCUGAGCAAACCAGCGUAUCAUUCAAAUAGUAGUUGUGUGAAGUACAAGUCUAGCUCAGUACGUUCUGUUUGUGUAGCCAUUCAUUUUACAACUUGGAACUGUUGAAGAUCUUCUUUUAAUCUUUCACCUCGCGUACCUUUGUUUCAAAUAAACAGAGAUUAAUGAUCCAAGAGAAAAAAAACCAGGGAAGUACAACACAACUGGGAUGAAGAGGCUUUUAAACUCUAGCAGUGUGUUUGUUGAUUUUGAACAUGACGGUGCAGAAGUGCUUCAAACAGUAUAUGAAAAUAACUGGAAAAUGUUCUCUGUGACUUGAAAGCAACAAUAAAAGUAACUUAUUUUGA